GAUGAACGCUGGCGGCGUGCCUAAUACAUGCAAGUCGAGCGAACAGAUGAGGAGCUUGCGCCUCUGACGUUAGCGGCGGACGGGUGAGUAACACGUGUAUAACCUACCUAUAAGACUGGGAUAACUUCGGGAAACCGGAGCUAAUACCGGAGAAUAUAUUGAACCGCAGGGGGCAAUAGUGAGAGACGGUGUUGCGGUCACGUAUAGAGGGAUCCGCGCCGCAUUAGCUAGUUGGUAAGGUAACGGCUUACCAAGGCAACGAUGCGUAGACGACCGGAGAGGCUGAUCGGCCACACUGGAGCUGAGACACGCUCCAGACUACUACGGGACGCAGCAGUCGGGAAUCUUCCGCAAUGGGCGAAAGCAUGACGGAGCAACGCCGCGUGAGUGAUGACGGUCUUCGGAUCGUAAAACUCUGUUAUUAGGGAAGAACCAAUGUGUACGUAACUAUGCACGUCUUGACGGUACCUAAUCAGAAAGCAACGGCUAACUACGUG
rnacentral:rRNA from 1 species